GAGUUGGAUCUAAAGAAAUGUUUGAAUAUUGAACUAAUCCACAACAGGAAUUCUCAGUGGGUCAAACUGAUCCAUAAAGCAAGUGACAUUUGCUCUUAAACUCUCCAUCUGAGGCCAUUUCUUCAGUUUGUAAAGGUUAUUACAAGAUAUUGAAUAUAGUUCCCUGUGCUAUAUGCUCACUGUUGCACUUUGACCUCGUCCUUGGUGCUUCAUGUUCUGACUGAAGUAUCAAUACAUUCUCCAAAAAGUUCAAGAUGGUUCUACAUUCAGGUUAAGCAAUUUCUACAUUUAUUGUUCUAAGUUAGCAUUAAGG